rnacentral:misc_RNA from 1 species
GAAAUGCGAUAAGUAAUGUGAAUUGCAGAAUUCAGUGAAUCAUCGAAUCUUUGAACGCACAUUGCGCCCCUUGGUAUUCCGGGGGGCAUGCCCGUUCGAGCGUCAUUACACCACUCAAGCCCGGCUUGGUUUAGGGCGACGGGCCCCGCCCCGCGCCCCUAUUUCGUCGGCUGGACGGUCGGAAGCCUCAGCGUUGUGAAUCAAUUCGCUCCGGACGACCGCCGCCCGCGCCGUUAAACCCCCCAUGACAGGUUGACCUCGGAUCGGGUAGGGAUACCCGCUGAACUUAAG